rnacentral:rRNA from 1 species
UACGUAGGGGGCAAGCGUUGUCCGGAUUUAUUGGGCGUAAAGAGCGUGUAGGCGGCCGUACAGGUCAGCUGUGAAAACUCGAGGCUCAACCUCGAGACGUCGGUUGAAACCGUACGGCUAGAGUCCGGAAGAGGAGAGUGGAAUUCCCGGUGUAGCGGUGAAAUGCGCAGAUAUCGGGAAGAACACCCGUGGCGAAGGCGGCUCUCUGGGACGGUACUGACGCUGAGACGCGACAGCAUGGGGAGCAAACGGG